rnacentral:rRNA from 1 species
CGCCCGCUCAGAAACUACAAAGGAAUUGACGGGGCCCGGCACAAGCGGUGGAGUAUGUGGUUUAAUUCGAAGCAACGCGAAGAACCUUACCAGGCCUUGACAUGCAGAGAACUUUCCAGAGAUGGAUUGGUGCCUUCGGGAACUCUGACACAGGUGCUGCAUGGCUGUCGUCAGCUCGUGCCGUGAGAUGUUGGGUUAAGUCCCGUAACGAGCGCAACCCUUGUCCUUAGUUACCAGCACGUUAUGGUGGGCACUCUAAGGAGACUGCCGGUGACAAACCGGAGGAAGGUGGGGAUGACGUCAAGUCAUCAUGGCCCUUACGGCCUGGGCUACACACGUGCUACAAUGGUCGGUACAAAGGGUUGCCAAGCCGCGAGGUGGAGCUAAUCCCAUAAAACCGAUCGUAGUCCGGAUCGCAGUCUGCAACUCGACUGCGUGAAGUCGGAAUCGCUAGUAAUCGUGAAUCAGAAUGUCACGGUGAAUACGUUCCCGGGCCUU